rnacentral:rRNA from 1 species
AGGGUUUGAUCAUGGCUCAGGGCGAACGCUGGCGGCGUGCCUAACACAUGCAAGUCGAACGGGACCGGGGGCAACUCCGGUUCAGUGGUGGACGGGUGCGUAACACGUGAGGAACAUGACUUUCGGUGGGGGAUAGCCGGCCCAACGGCCGGGUAAUACCGCGUACGACCUCUCGGGGACAUCCCCGGUUGGUGAAAGCAGCAAUGCGCCGAAAGAGUGCCUCGCGGCCUAUCAGCUAGUUGGUGGGGUAACGGCCCACCAAGGCGACGACGGGUAGCUGGUCUGAGAGGAUGGCCAGCCACAUUGGGACUGAGACACGGCCCAGACUCCUACGGGAGGCAGCAGUGGGGAAUAUUGCGCAAUGGGCGAAAGCCUGACGCAGCGACGCCGCGUGUGGGAUGACGGCCUUCGGGUUGUAAACCACUGUCGGGAGGGACGAAUGCGCCGCAAGGCGAGUGACGGUACCUCCAAAGGAAGCACCGGCUAACUCCGUGCCAGCAGCCGCGGUAAUACGGAGGGUGCGAGCGUUGUCCGGAAUCACUGGGCGUAAAGGGCGCGUAGGCGGCCUGGUAAGUAGGGGGUGAAAUCCUGCGGCUUAACCGCAGGGCUGCCUUCUAAACUGUCAGGCUCGAGCACAGUAGAGGCAGGUGGAAUUCCCGGUGUAGCGGUGGAAUGCGUAGAGAUCGGGAAGAACAUCAGUGGCGAAGGCGGCCUGCUGGGCUGUUGCUGACGCUGAGGCGCGACAGCGUGGGGAGCAAACAGGAUUAGAUACCCUGAUAGUCCACGCCGUAAACGAUGGGCACUAGGCGUCGGGGGGAGCGACCCUCCCGGUGCCGUCGCUAACGCAGUAAGUGCCCCGCCUGGGGAGUACGGCCG